rnacentral:rRNA from 1 species
GGGGGCUAGCGUUGUUCGGAAUUACUGGGCGUAAAGCGCACGUAGGCGGUCCAGUUAGUUGGGGGUGAAAUCCCGGGGCUCAACCCCGGAACUGCCUCCAAAACUGCUGGUCUGGAGGUCGAGAGAGGUGAGUGGAAUUUCGAGUGUAGAGGUGAAAUUCGUAGAUAUUCGGAGGAACACCAGUGGCGAAGGCGGCGCACUGGCUCGAUACUGACGCUGAGGUGCGAAAGUGUGGGGAGCGAACAGG